GCAAUAGCUAGUUGCAUCAUAGUAGAUAUGAUGCAAGAUCGACUAUGUUGAAUAAAAUUCUAGGUAGAAUUAUGAUAAUGACAUUGUCUGCCUAUGUGUCUUGACCAAAUUACGUGCCAGCAGUCGCGGUAAUACGUAGAAGACUAGUGUUAUUCAUGUUUAAUCGGUUUAAAGGGUACCUAGACGGUAGAUCAAGCUUUCUAAUAAAGGAAAAGGACUAGUUUACUAGAGUUACUUAUGAGGGGGUAUUAAAGUACUGCUGGUGUAGAGAUGAAAUUCUGUCAUACCUCUUUUCAAAAGAAAAACCAUGGCACAGGUAUAGGCGAAGGCAUCCCCUUAUGUGAUAACUGACGUUGAGGGACGAAGGCUUUGUGUAGCGAACAGGAUUAGAUACCCCAGUAGUCGAAGCAGAAAAUGAUGAAUGUCAUAGAUUAGAUAUAUAAGUUUAUUCUAUAAAUGAAAGUGUAAGCAUUCCACCUCAUGAGUAAUUUGGCAACAUUGGAACUGAAAUCAUUAGACCGUUUCUGAAACCAGUAGUGAAGUAUGUUGUUUAAUUUGAUGUCCCGCAAAAAACCUUACCACAAUUUGAAUAUUUAUAUUGUUUAUUGUUUUAUUCUUAAUUUUCUUGAAGAAAAUUAAGAAAAAAGCAAUAAGAUAUAAUUACAAGCGUUGCACGGCUGUCUUCAGUUAAUGUCGCGAGACUUUGGUUAGUUCCAUUAAAUUAACGUAAACCCUUACUUUAUUUUUAUAUAGAGUAGUUCCCCGCUAUA
rnacentral:rRNA from 1 species